AUGCUGGACCUCAGCUAUAAUAAAUUCAGCAGUGUGCUCACGGAGGAGCAUUUCGCGGGUCUACUGAAUUUAGAGUAUCUGGACUUGUCGUACAACUCUUUGAGAUUAGUUAUCAAACAAAAAUGGGUUCCUCCAUUUAGAUUGAAGGUCGCACGUUUUGCUUCAUGCCAACUGGGCCUAAGUUUUCCAGAGUGGCUUAGAUGGCAAUCUGACAUUGAUGUUCUUGUUGUCAGUAAUGCAAAUCUGGAUGAUGUUAUUCCUGAUUGGUUUUGGGUGACAUUUUCCCGAGCUUCAUUCUUGCGAGCAUCAGGAAACAAAUUGCAUGGCUCAUUACCGGGAGAUCUACAACACAUGUCAGCUGACCACAUAUAUCUUGGGUCCAAUAAGUUUACCGGAGAAGUUCCACGGUUACCUAUAAAUAUAGUAAGACUGAACCUAUCUUCAAACUCUUUAUCUGGUUCAUUGCCAUCAGAGUUAAAUGCUCCACUACUCGAAGAGUUUUUGCUUGCAAACAAUCAAUUCAUAGGCACCAUUCCGUCGUCUAUAUGCCAAUUGACUAAACUGAAAAGGUUGGACCUAUCAGGAAAACAGUUAACAGGAGAUAUUAUGCAGUGCCAAAAGGCACUUGUUCCAAACUCUACAGAUCAAUUUGGCUCUGACAUGCUGAGCUUAGCCUUGAAUAACAACGAUCUCACUGGUGAAUUCCCUAAAUUUCUUCAAAGGUCAUCAGGAUUAAUGUUCCUUGAUCUUUCUUACAACAGGUUAUUUGGAGGACUGCCAGAAUGGUUACCCCAAAAAAUGCCACACAUGAAAAUAUUAAGAGUGAGAUCAAAUAUGUUCAGUGGUCAUAUUCCUAAGAGUCUCACUUCCCUUCAUGGUCUUCAUUAUUUGGAUAUAGCACACAACAACAUGACAGGAAGCAUACCAUGGUCUUUGUCAAACCUGAAGGCAAUGAUGACAAUGGUGUCACAGGACACGGGUGAUUAUAUUUAUGAGGAGAGCAUCCCAGUAAUCACAAAGGAUCAAAAGCGUGACUACACCUUUGCAAUCUACCAGCUAUUGGUUGUUCUUGAUUUGUCAAGUAAUAGUUUGGCAGGACAGGUUCCAGAGGAGAUAACUUUACUCAUUGGGCUUACCAAUCUAAACUUGUCAAAUAAUCAGCUCACAGGAGUAAUCCCAAACAAAAUUGGUGAUUUAAGGCAGCUGGACUCACUCGACCUGUCCAUCAAUGAAUUUUCUGGUGAAAUACCAUCAAGUUUGUCUGCUUUAACUUAUUUGAGCCACUUGAACUUGUCAUACAACAAUUUGUCUGGUGCAAUACCAUCCGGCCAACAGCUACAAGCUCUUGCUAACCAGAUGUAUAUCUACAUCGGUAACCCUGGUCUUUGUGGAGAUCCUGUCGGCAGGAACUGCUCAAGACAUGAUGCAGAGCAAAGUGACCUCGAAGACAUAGAUCAUAUGCCAUCUGUUUAUCUUGCCAUGAGCAUUGGAUUUGUGGUGGGUCUGUGGACAGUUUUCUGCACCAUGUUGAUGAAGAGAACAUGGAGGGCUGCCUUCUUCCAGUUUGUUGAUAUGAUGUACGACAUGGUUUAUGUGCAAGUGGCUGUAAGGUGGGCUCACGUGAUGGAGACAACUCAAGACGGUGCACCAUGA
rnacentral:rRNA from 1 species